AGUGAGAUUACUAAGGGACGAGGCUAGUUCCAAUCAAAGCUUACAUCCACACCCAUGAAGAUCGAAUGUUAAAGAUAUGGAUCGCCGAGCCGGGUCCGGAAUCCCGAAAAAACUUUUCGGGAGAUGCCGAACCAGGGAUGCGAACCCGGGUGCUCCUGUGUGGCACACCAACUGCGUUACCACUCGGCCAUUCGCCGUCCUCGUACUACAUUCAAUACUUGAAACUGUGUUUUUAUUUUGUGAACAGAUGACGCCACUUUCCAUUCUGCAAGAAUACUAAAUGAUAAGGCGAAACAAACCCAUAGGAUAGUCACUCCUGUGGAUUCGUCAGUCUGGUUGUGGAAGAUGUGGAUAGACGGGCCGGGCCCGGAGGCCAUGGUAAAUAUUAUCGAGAUUCGCCCCAUGUGUUUUUGC
rnacentral:lncRNA from 1 species